UCAGCUUUUUAUAUGGUUUUUUUCAAUCUCUCUCAAUUAACAAUAAAAUCUAAUUAAAUUCUAUUAAUUAACCAAUUAAACUCAGAUUUGUACUUAGUAUCAAUCAAGGUAAUGCAAUUAAGAAGGGGAAAUUAGGGUUAAAUGUACAUGUGACGAUUCAGAUGCGUCUCCCUCCUUUCUCACUUGCACCAUCAGCGCCGCCGGAGAACUCAUCAUCUCCGUUCAAAGUCCGACGAUGGCUCUCUAUUCCUCAUUCAUCCACUCAAAUUGCUCUCCGUCUCGACUCAAUCGCAUUGCCUCUCGAGUCUCCCUCUCUUAAUCGCUCAUCUCUCCCUCUGUGUUCGCUCUCCUCCAUUAACUUCUCCUCUCGAUCUCAUCGAUCAGAGUUCCUCCGACGUGCCUUAAACGACAAACAUUGAACAAGAAACGCAGAGGAUCUUCAACGAAUUCUAGGUAAAAAUCAAGCGUCGAGUUCUAAAAUCCGGUGAAUCUCUUAAACAUAACCCACAAACCCCAAAACUCACGUGAGUCAUCACUUUCAGUAUCACUAGAAACCACCUUUAUCAUACUACACACCAAGAUAUACAAACAUAAACAUUCACUAAUUACACAAAUAUAAUAACCUUCACAACAUCAACAACAAUUAACCACUCCAUUAUCACUGAUUUAACUAUUAAUCCAUUUUUAUGUUGAUGCUAUUCUGCCUUGAUAUUUUGUUUAAGGUUCAUGAUCCAUCGAACCGAUCGUAAUCUAUAGAACCACAUAACGCAACAACAUGGUCGUCCUCCAACAACUCAAAUCAGGCAUCAUCUGCAAAUCGUUCAGCAGUGACAACUCAGAACAUCACACAGACACAACCACGCAUCCACCGCAAACAACAUCCAAUACCUCCGUGAAAUCGCCGUUUCCGAUCCACACGAAGCCGCCACCGGCCGAGCUCCCUUCGAACAUCCACUCUCAGUUUCACUUGCAUAAAAGGAUAAGAGCAAGAAGAAGUGGAAGAAGAUGAAUGGAACAACAACUUCACGAUCCAGAUUUGAUGAAACUGAUUCGUCCAUGAUCUGAAUCUUCAACUCACCUUCGAUCUGCAACCUCACGAUUUCCAUCAGCGACAUAUCAACACAAGACCUCACAGUGGCAACUUAGAGAUUGGGAACGUCGGCAACAACACAUCAUGGCAUCAUCUCCGAUGGAAUAUGGCAGGCAACCCCGCACGACUCAGACAGGGCAGAGAGACCUAGACAGCGUCAGCUAGACGCGAGCGGGCGUCACAGCUGGCAGCGACACAAGGACGGGGUCGAGUACGAGUACCCGUCCAGAUGGAUGAGUCUGGUUCUUCAUUUGGAUCGAGGAGUAGACUAACUCGGGUGUCUUCUUCCCAUCAGGAGGUGAUACCUGAUGUCGAGCGCAGGCACGGGGAGGAGGAGGAGGUGAUACCUGAUGUUGAGCCUCCGCACGGGGACGAGGAGGACCAAGGCUACCCGGGAGGGCCUAGGGACACUUCCUUACUGAUUUACUACCACGACCACGUCGCUCGAUGUGUCUUGGCGGUGUUUCCUAUUUAUUUUUUAGUCUUGACUUUUUUGUAUUCGGGUUGUAUUAUUUUGACAUCUCCGUACACUGUUUUUUUAUAUGUAUAUUAUUAGUAUUUUAUUCCAA